GGAGCGGUAGUUCAGCUGGUUAGAAAGCUGGCCGGUCACGCCGGAGGUCGCGGGUUCGAGUCCCGUCCGCUCCGCCA
rnacentral:tRNA from 1 species